rnacentral:pre_miRNA from 1 species
AGGAGGAAUAACCACAUGGCAGCGGCCAGCUCUGGAGCCCUGGAUUCAGCUCCCGCAGUAGCUAUGGAGCUCUCAGUCUGCAGGGGCCUGUAAUGCUCCGGGGGUGG